GCUUACCAUGCAAGUCGAGCGGAAAGGCCCUUCGGGGUACUCGAGCGGCGAACGGGUGAGUAACACGUGAGUAACCUGCCCCUGACUCUGGGAUAAGCCUGGGAAACCGGGUCUAAUACCGGAUGUGACCUCCUCCGGCAUCGGAUGGUGGUGGAAAGUUUUUUCGGUUGGGGAUGGGCUCGCGGCCUAUCAGCUUGUUGGUGGGGUAGUGGCCUACCAAGGCGACGACGGGUAGCCGGCCUGAGAGGGCGACCGGCCACACUGGGACUGAAACACGGCCCAAACUCCUACGGGAGGCAGCAGUGGGGAAUAUUGCGCAAUGGGCGGAAGCCUGACGCACCGACCCCGCGUGGGGGAUGACGGCCUUCGGGUUGUAAACCUCUACCAGCAGGGACRAAKUUGACGUGUACCUGCARAARAAGCGCCGGCUAACUACGUGCCAGCAGCCGCGGUAAUACGUAGGGCGCAAGCGUUGUCCGGAAUUAUUGUGCGUAAAGAGCUCGUAGGUGCCUGGUCGCGUCUGCCGUGAAAGCCCGCAGCUUAACUGCGGGUCUGCGGUGGAUACGGGCCGGCUAGAGGUAGGUAGGGGCAUGUGGAAUUCCUGGUGUAGCGGUGAAAUGCGCAGAUAUCAGGAGGAACACCGGUGGCGAAGGCGGCUUGCUGGGCCUUACCUGACGCUGAGGAGCGAAAGCGUGGGGAGCGAAC
rnacentral:rRNA from 1 species